GCGCUGGGGCGGAGCGGGGCUAUGGCCGCCCUGCGCUCCCUGCUGCGCUGGCGCCGCCGCCUGGGGCCCGCGCCCGGCGCUCCGCCGGCCCGGCGGCUGUGGGGCGGCGGCGGGGCCGGGCCGGCGGGGCCGCGGCGGUGGCGGCGGGAGCUGGGCUGGGCGGCGGCGGGGGCGGCUCUCGCCGGGUUCGCGGGGUACCGGCUGUCCGAGCGGCGGCGGGAGCCCUCCCGGGAGCCGGCAGCCGCCGAGCCGGGCGGGGCCCGGGCGCUGCUCCCCAUCCCCGUGGCGGCCGCUGCCAAGGAGACGGUGACGGUUACAGACAACAGAUCAGACUUCGAAGAUUUACACCUUUAUGCAACUCCGCGGGAGCAACGGUUUCGUAGGUUUGCCAGUCUAGAAUUUGAAGGACAGCUGUACAUGACUCCACACGACUUCAUCCAGGCUGUUACAAGUGAUGAACCCAAACAUGCUAAAAAGUGGCGAUCCCUUUCAAAGCAGGAGCUGAAUCAGAUCCUUAUGGAGACACCACCAGUUUGGAAAGGAUCAUCCAAACUUUUCCGUAAUCUUAAUGAGAAAGGUGUGAUAUCUUACACAGAAUAUUUAUUCCUCUUAUGUAUUUUAACAAAACCACAUGCAGGUUUUCGAAUUGCUUUCAACAUGUUCGAUACUGAUGGCAAUGAAAUGGUGGACAAAAAGGAAUUCUUAGUGCUCCAAGAGAUCUUCAGGAAAAAAAAUGAGAAGAGAGAAAAAAGAGGAGAUGAAGAAAAACGUGCAAUGCUGCGUCUUCAACUUUAUGGAUAUCAUACUCCUACUAACAGUGUUCUUAAAACAGAAGGAGAGGACCUUGUCCCCAGAAGCUAUUGGGAUACUUUGAGACGUAGCACAAGCCAAGCACUCUUUUCAGACCUUGCGGAGCGUGCUGAUGAUAUUACAAGUUCACUGUCAGAUACAACACUGCUUGUACACUUUUUUGGCAAGAAAGGAAAAGCAGAACUGAACUUCGAAGAUUUUUAUAGAUUUAUGGAUAACCUGCAAACUGAGGUUCUAGAGAUAGAAUUCCUUUCUUAUUCUAAUGGGAUGAAUACCAUCAGUGAGGAAGACUUUGCCCACAUUCUCUUGAGGUAUACAAAUGUGGAAAAUACAUCAAGUUACCUGGAAAACAUGCGUGGCAGUAUUCCUGAAGAAAAGGGUAUCACAUUUGAAGAAUUUAGAUCAUUUUUUCAAUUCUUGAACAAUCUAGAGGACUUCACAAUUGCAAUGCAAAUGUAUAAUUUUGCAAGUCGUUCCAUAGGUCAAGAUGAAUUCAAGCGUGCUGUGUAUGUAGCCACAGGUGUGAAGCUCUCACCUCAUUUGGUGAACACAGUGUUCAAGAUUUUCGAUGUCGACCGAGAUGACCAGCUGAGUUAUAAAGAAUUUAUCGGCAUUAUGAAAGACAGACUCAAUCGAGGGUUUAGGGGCUACAAACCUAUACAGAGGUAUACUACUUUCAAAUCCUGCGUGAGGAAGGAGCUGUAUAGCAGAUAAAUGACGGUGAACUUUUUAGUACAGUGUCAAUACAAAGAAGCAAGGAACAAAACUAGAGAGGGAGCUGGACAUACCUGAAUAAAGAGGAAAUACUUUGCUGCAUCUUUUAAUAUAAAUAGGGUAUUUGUUGAAUGCUAAUUGUGUGCUGUGAGGAGACUCCGAAGUAUGGUUGGAAUGAAUAUUACUCUUGUGUGAUGACUGUAACCAGUGAGCAUCUCAGAGAUCUAUGGAAGCAAUUUCGGAGACGAGAUAUGCUGAGAUAAAGGAAGAAAGCAGGAUUUUCUGCACUGGCUAAAAUUAUUUAUUCCCAUGAAUUCUUAAUGAAGAACAAACUAACCCAGGUGAAUGGUGAAUCUUCCAGCUGCAGUAGAAAACACAGGACUUCUUUUCCACUUAGUAUAGUGAUCAUCAACUCUUAAAACUGCUUUUCAGUAUGUAUUCUAUUUAAUUGAUGAACUAACUAUGCCAUGUGAGUGGGAGAAGCCUUCUUUUGUAAGAGCACCUUUUGAAUAUUAUUUUUUAUUAUUUUGAGAUAAAUUUGUCAUUUAAAAGGAAACAAAAAUAAGUCUUACACCUGGGCAGGAAGAUGUUUGGCAGUGAAGAGAAACUGCCUGCAUCAGUUUAGACUGUGAAUUCACUUUCAGAUGAGCACUAUUAAAAGUUUGUGCUAAACUGAAAAUGAGACUACGUUAAGUAGCAUAACAAUUACAUAUGAGUUGAAUGGACAAAUUAAACUCUUAGAGGGUGUUAUUUUACAAGGAGUAAAGCUGUUAUGGUCAUAAUGUGAAUGAUAGGUAUUUACCUAGGAAAAGUACUGUAUGAACUACAAUGUUCAGAUUCUUCAAGUCUUAUUAUUAUGUUUAUGAAUUUAUCCUUUAAAAAAUAGUACAGAUUUUAAAAUGUCUUACAAGCAGUGUGUCAAAGAAAAGUCAAAAUGUUCAAAUUCAUGUAGCACACACUUUGUAAUAUUUAUUAUAAAUUUUAUUGCCAUACACUGGUAUGUUUCUGGUAGAGUACAAAUUCAUGUGUUUCUUGUGAAUAGUGCACUUUUAUAUGAAGUGGCACUGAGAAGAAAUUAUAGUUGUCUAAUUUGCUACUCUGGAAUGCCGUAUCUGAAAACUAGAUAAAUAGCUUGUGUUUGUGUCAAACAAAAAAAAAAAAAAAACAAAAAAAAAAAAAAAAAAAAAAAAACCACAACAAAAAAAAACCCCAUGAAUGCAUGCACAAUACAGAACAACACUAAGUAAUAUUAUUUGAAUAUUACUUGUUUGCUAUUCAGCAACAGCAUAUUUCCUUACUCCCUAUUAACAUUAUUGUUACGUAGUAGGAAUUAAAUCAAGAACACAUAUUUUUUACACCCUUCUUGAAAAGAUUUACUGGAUAAUGAAUAAAUCUGUAUCUGUUUCGGAAAAGACUGUGCCAUGAAAUAAUUCCAGCUGAAUACGCACACACUUGAACUAAUGUCAAUAAAUUGUCAUCAGAAGCAGAAAUAUUUGGUAAUCAGACAAUCAAAACAGAACUAAAAUAAUGUUUUUAGAUAUCUUACUACUCCAAAUCAUGAAAUAAAACUUUCUACAAUUUUAUUCAGUGCACAUGUUACCAUCUUAAAUAUCAUGUGAAUAGAUGUAUGGUGUCUGUGUAACAGUGCACCUAAGUUUUGAAAUGCUUAAUUUAUCGUAACAUAUAUUUCUGGUAGAAAAUUCAAAACAAAAUGAGAAGGAAGCUUUUUGUAAGAAAUUCCACACUGGGAAUUGUAGAAAAGAUAUGUGCUAAAUGUGGCUUUUAUCUGGAAAAAAAAAAAAAAAAAAAAAAAAAAACAGGCCAGUUCAGAAAACUAUCAAAGGAUGAUACUUCAGUUAAUAUUCGUGAUAAAUAAAUUCAAAAUUUCCAUCUUGGUGUCCUUAAACUAUUGACAGAAAGAAAUAAAUGAAAUAAAUUGAGAUAAAGGUUCUUGGAUUGACACAGCAGAACACAGAUGAGCUGCAGUCCCUGUGUGAUCCUUUAGGGAAUCAGCGGUAUUCAAUGUAUCGUCUCGGUACGCAAAACUGUCUCACUGCUUCUUGUCGGCAUAUGGAAAACCCAGUUUGCUACUUCAGUGGUGAAGGACAAAGAGGAGAGAAGAAAACACUGGGAGUCACAGAAGGGGUUCCCAUCCUUCCUUUUCAUUCAUGACUGCCACUCACAGUGACCUCCCCUUGGAGGAAGCAGCUGUACCAUCAUCAUUUUGCUGCUCCACUGCCCUAGGCAAUAGUGCACUUUGCUUUUAUGGCUGGCUUGAAGCACUUUUAGCAUUUUUCUAUAUAUUUCCUAUCUAUAGUUACUUAAUAUAAAAUAGAAUGUGAAAGUGUCAGAUUAGUUUUUAAGACUAUUUUUUCUUCAUGUUUAAUAAUAUUUAAUAUAAAUAUGAAUAUAUACAUAUAAUAUUCUUGUUUAUUUCAAAAUAAAUGCACUUCAAACUAA